rnacentral:rRNA from 1 species
AGAGUUUGAUCCUGGCUCAGGAUGAACGCUAGCGGCAGGCUUAACACAUGCAAGUCGAAGGGCAACGGGGAGAGUGCUUGCACUCUCUGCCGGCGACUGGCGCACGGGUGAGUAACACGUAUGCAACCUGCCCUCCACAGGGGGACAACCUUCCGAAAGGGAGGCUAAUCCCGCGUAUAUCCCUUGGGGGCAUCCUUGGGGGAGGAAAGGAUUACCGGUGGAGGAUGGGCAUGCGGCGCAUUAGGCAGUAGGCGGGGUAACGGCCCACCUAACCGACGAUGCGUAGGGGUUCUGAGAGGAAGGUCCCCCACACUGGUACUGAGACACGGACCAGACUCCUACGGGAGGCAGCAGUGAGGAAUAUUGGUCAAUGGGCGAGAGCCUGAACCAGCCAAGUCGCGUGAGGGAAGACGGUCCUAUGGAUUGUAAACCUCUUUUGCCGGGGAGCAAAAAGCGGUACGCGUACCGCAUCGAGAGUACCCGGAGAAAAAGCAUCGGCUAACUCCGUGCCAGCAGCCGCGGUAAUACGGAGGAUGCGAGCGUUAUCCGGAUUUAUUGGGUUUAAAGGGGGCGCAGGCGGCGAGUUAAGUCAGCGGUAAAAUUUCGG